rnacentral:rRNA from 1 species
UGGGGAAUUUUGGACAAUGGGCGCACNNCUGAUCCAGUAAUGCCGCGUGCAGGAAGAAGGCCUUCGGGUUGUAAACUGCUUUUGUCAGGGAAGAAAUCUUCUGGGCUAAUACCCCGGGAGGAUGACGGUACCUGAAGAAUAAGCACCGGCUAACUACGUGCCAGCAGCCGCGGUAAUACGUAGGGUGCGAGCGUUAAUCGGAAUUACUGGGCGUAAAGCGUGCGCAGGCGGCUUUGCAAGACAGAUGUGAAAUCCCCGGGCUCAACCUGGGAACUGCAUUUGUGACUGCAAGGCUAGAGUACGGCAGAGGGGGAUGGAAUUCCGCGUGUAGCAGUGAAAUGCGUAGAUAUGCGGAGGAACACCAAUGGCGAAGGCAAUCCCCUGGGCCUGUACUGACGCUCAUGCACGAAAGCGUGGGAGCAAACAGGAUUAGAUACCCUGGUAGUCCACGCCCUAAACGAUGUCAACUGGUUGUUGGACGGCUUGCUGUUCAGUAACGAAGCUAACGCGUGAAGUUGACCGCCUGGGGAGUACGGCCGCAAGGUUG